rnacentral:rRNA from 1 species
UACAGAGGGGGCAAGCGUUGUUCGGAAUUACUGGGCGUAAAGCGCGUGUAGGCGGUUUGUCGCGUCUGCUGUGAAAACUCGGGGCUUAACUCCGGGCCUGCAGUGGGUACGGGCAGACUAGAGUGCGGUAGGGGAGACUGGAAUUCCUGGUGUAGCGGUGAAAUGCGCAGAUAUCAGGAGGAACACCGGUGGCGAAGGCGGGUCUCUGGGCCGUAACUGGACGCUGAGGAGCGAAAGCGUGGGGAGCGAACAGG